rnacentral:ncRNA from 2 species
CUCAUCGAGAGUGGCUGAGGGAAUAGGCCCUGUGACGCCCGGCAACCUAGCAAAGAAAAGGUGCUAAAUCCUACAGGUUUUACCUGAAAGAUGAGG